rnacentral:rRNA from 1 species
GGGGAGCGUUCUGUAAGCCUGUGAAGGUGUACUGUGAGGUAUGCUGGAGGUAUCAGAAGUGCGAAUGCUGACAUAAGUAACGAUAAAGCGGGUGAAAAGCCCGCUCGCCGGAAGACCAAGGGUUCCUGUCCAACGUUAAUCGGGGCAGGGUGAGUCGACCCCUAAGGCGAGGCCGAAAGGCGUAGUCGAUGGGAAACAGGUUAAUAUUCCUGUACUUGGUGUUACUGCGAAGGGGGGACGGAGAAGGCUAUGUUGGCCGGGCGACGGUUGUCCCGGUUUAAGCGUGUAGGCUGGUUUUCCAGGCAAAUCCGGAAAAUCAAGGCUGAGGCGUGAUGACGAGGCACUACGGUGCUGAAGCAACAAAUGCCCUGCUUCCAGGAAAAGCCUCUAAGCAUCAGGUAACAUCAAAUCGUACCCCAAACCGACACAGGUGGUCAGGUAGAGAAUACCAAGGCGCUUGAGAGAACUCGGGUGAAGGAACUAGGCAAAAUGGUGCCGUAACUUCGGGAGAAGGCACGCUGAUAUGUAGGUGAAGCGACUUGCUCGUGGAGCUGAAAUCAGUCGAAGAUACCAGCUGGCUGCAACUGUUUAUUAAAAACACAGCACUGUGCAAACACGAAAGUGGACGUAUACGGUGUGACGCCUGCCCGGUGCCGGAAGGUUAAUUGAUGGGGUUAGCGCAAGCGAAGCUCUUGAUCGAAGCCCCGGUAAACGGCGGCCGUAACUAUAACGGUCCUAAGGUAGCGAAAUUCCUUGUCGGGUAAGUUCCGACCUGCACGAAUGGCGUAAUGAUGGCCAGGCUGUCUCCACCCGAGACUCAGUGAAAUUGAACUCGCUGUGAAGAUGCAGUGUACCCGCGGCAAGACGGAAAGACCCCGUGAACCUUUACUAUAGCUUGACACUGAACAUUGAGCCUUGAUGUGUAGGAUAGGUGGGAGGCUUUGAAGUGUGGACGCCAGUCUGCAUGGAGCCGACCUUGAAAUACCACCCUUUAAUGUUUGAUGUUCUAACGUUGACCCGUAAUCCGGGUUGCGGACAGUGUCUGGUGGGUAGUUUGACUGGGGCGGUCUCCUCCUAAAGAGUAACGGAGGAGCACGAAGGUUGGCUAAUCCUGGUCGGACAUCAGGAGGUUAGUGCAAUGGCAUAAGCCAGCUUGACUGCGAGCGUGACGGCGCGAGCAGGUGCGAAAGCAGGUCAUAGUGAUCCGGUGGUUCUGAAUGGAAGGGCCAUCGCUCAACGGAUAAAAGGUACUCCGGGGAUAACAGGCUGAUACCGCCCAAGAGUUCAUAUCGACGGCGGUGUUUGGCACCUCGAUGUCGGCUCAUCACAUCCUGGGGCUGAAGUAGGUCCCAAGGGUAUGGCUGUUCGCCAUUUAAAGUGGUACGCGAGCUGGGUUUAGAACGUCGUGAGACAGUUCGGUCCCUAUCUGCCGUGGGCGCUGGAGAACUGAGGGGGGCUGCUCCUAGUACGAGAGGACCGGAGUGGACGCAUCACUGGUGUUCGGGUUGUCAUGCCAAUGGCACUGCCCGGUAGCUAAAUGCGGAAGAGAUAAGUGCUGAAAGCAUCUAAGCACGAAACUUGCCCCGAGAUGAGUUCUCCCUGACCCUUUAAGGGUCCUGAAGGAACGUUGAAGACGACGACGUUGAUAGGCCGGGUGUGUAAGCGCAGCGAUGCGUUGAGCUAACCGGUACUAAUGAACCGUGAG